UCCAAACAAAAUAUCAAUGGUAUAUGUCGAAAACUGUUGUCUGAUGUGGAGGGUCUUUCUUUCCUGUUUCAGUGGAAUCAGAGUUAUUGCUCCAUUUCAACUGAGGGUGUCAAGGGCAAU